CUCUCUUUGAUAUUUUUUUAUAAAGAGUUUGACCUGCCCAGUGAUAAUAAUUUAACGGCCGCAGUACUUUGACUGUGCAAAGGUAGCAUAAUUAUUUGCCUUAUAAUUGAAGGCUUGUAUGAAUGGUUUGACGAAAAUAAAUCUGUCUUAAUUAGAUUUUUAAUAAUUUAACUUUAAAGUGAAGAGGCUUUUAUAUUAUUGAUAGACAAGAAGACCCUAUCGAGCUUUAAAUUUAUUUAUAAAUAUAUAUUCUUAUAUUAUUAAUAAUUUUUAGUUGGGGUGACUGAGGAACAUAUAUAAGUUUCCUUAUAUUUAAUAAAUAUAUUAAUUAUGAUCCAUUUUUUAUGAUUAGUAGAAUUAGUUACCGUAGGGAUAACAGCAUAAUCUUUUUUGAGAGUUCAUAUCRAAAAAUAGGUUUGUGACCUCGAUGUUGGAUUAAAGUGUCCUAAAGGAGUAGAAAUUUUUAAGGGUUAGUCUGUUCGACUAUUAAAACUUU
rnacentral:rRNA from 1 species